GUCCACGCUGUAAACGAUGUGUGCUAGACGUUGGGGGGUUGCCUCCCGGUGUCGCAGCUAACGCGUUAAGCACACCGCCUGGGGAGUACGGCCGCAAGGUUAAAACUCAAAGGAAUUGACGGGGGCCCGCACAAGCGGUGGAGCAUGUGGUUCAAUUCGACGCAACGCGAAGAACCUUACCAGCUUUUGACAUGGGUAGUAUGGGCCUGGGCGACUGGGCUCUUCAGUUCGGCUGGCUACCACACAGGUGCUGCAUGGCUGUCGU
rnacentral:rRNA from 1 species